UCGGAGGCAGCAGUGAGGAAUAUUGCGCAAUGGGGGGAACCCUGACGCAGCAACGCCGCGUGAAGGAUGAAGGUUUUCGGAUUGUAAACUUCUUUGAUGAGGGACGAAUAAUGACGGUACCUCAAAAACAAGCCACGGCUAACUACGUGCCAGCAGCCGCGGUAAUACGUAGGUGGCGAGCGUUGUCCGGAAUUACUGGGUGUAAAGGGCGUGUAGGCGGGGAUAUAAGUCAGAUGUGAAAUCCCGAGGCUUAACUUCGGGGCUGCAUCUGAAACUAUGUUUCUUGAGUGCUGGAGAGGAAAGCGGAAUUCCUAGUGUAGCGGUGAAAUGCGUAGAUAUUAGGAGGAACACCAGUGGCGAAGGCGGCUUUCUGGACAGUAACUGACGCUGAGGCGCGAAAGCGUGGGGAGCAAACAGGAUUAGAUACCCGCGUAGUCC
rnacentral:rRNA from 1 species